rnacentral:rRNA from 1 species
AAAUUGAAGAGUUUGAUCAUGGCUCAGAUUGAACGCUGGCGGCAGGCCUAACACAUGCAAGUCGAGCGGCAGCGGGAAAGUAGCUUGCUACUUUUGCCGGCGAGCGGCGGACGGGUGAGUAAUGCCUGGGGAUCUGCCCAGUCGAGGGGGAUAACAGUUGGAAACGACUGCUAAUACCGCAUACGCCCUACGGGGGAAAGGAGGGGACCUUCGAGCCUUUCGCGAUUGGAUGAACCCAGGUGGGAUUAGCUAGUUGGUGGGGUAAUGGCUCACCAAGGCGACGAUC